rnacentral:miRNA from 1 species
UUCUGCGGUUCGAAAUAGCG